rnacentral:rRNA from 1 species
UGGGGAAUUUUGGACAAUGGGGGCAACCCUGAUCCAGCCAUGCCGCGUGUGUGAAGAAGGCCUUCGGGUUGUAAAGCACUUUCGGCCGGAACGAAAUCGCGCGGGCUAACACUCCGCGUGGAUGACGGUACCGGAAGAAGAAGCACCGGCUAACUACGUGCCAGCAGCCGCGGUAAUACGUAGGGUGCGAGCGUUAAUCGGAAUUACUGGGCAUAAAGUGUGCGCAGGUGGCCGCGCAAGUCGAGUGUGAAAGCCCCGGGCUUAACUUGGGAAUUGCGCUCGAAACUACGUGGCUAGAGUGUGGCAGAGGAAGGUGGAAUUCCACGUGUAGCGGUGAAAUGCGUAGAGAUGUGGAGGAACACCGAUGGCGAAGGCAGCCUUCUGGGCCAACACUGACGCUCAUGCACGAAAGCGUGGGGAGCAAACAGGAUUAGAUACCCUGGUAGUCCACGCCCUAAACGAUGAUGACUAGUUGUUGGGGGAGUUAAAUCCCUUAGUAACG